UACGGAGGGAGCUAGCGUUGUUCGGAAUUACUGGGCGUAAAGCGCACGUAGGCGGCUUUGUAAGUUAGAGGUGAAAGCCCGGGGCUCAACUCCGGAACUGCCUUUAAGACUGCAUCGCUUGAAUCCAGGAGAGGUGAGUGGAAUUCCGAGUGUAGAGGUGAAAUUCGUAGAUAUUCGGAAGAACACCAGUGGCGAAGGCGGCUCACUGGACUGGCAUUGACGCUGAGGUGCGAAAGCGUGGGGAGCAAACAGG
rnacentral:rRNA from 1 species